GACGAACGCUGGCGGCGUGCUUAACACAUGCAAGUCGAACGGAAAGGCCCUGCUUUUGUGGGGUGCUCGAGUGGCGAACGGGUGAGUAACACGUGAGUAACCUGCCCUUGACUUUGGGAUAACUUCAGGAAACUGGGGCUAAUACCGGAUAGGAGCUCCUGCUGCAUGGUGGGGGUUGGAAAGUUUCGGCGGUUGGGGAUGGACUCGCGGCUUAUCAGCUUGUUGGUGGGGUAGUGGUUUACCAAGGCUUUGACGGGUAGCCGGCCUGGGAGGGUGACCGGCCACAUUGGGACUGGGAUACGGCCCAGACUCCUACGGGAGGCAGCAGUGGGGAAUAUUGCACAAUGGGCGGAAGCCUGAUGCAGCAACGCCGCGUGCGGGAUGACGGCCUUCGGGUUGUAAACCGCUUUCGCCUGUGACGAAGCGUGAGUGACGGUAAUGGGUAAAGAAGCACCGGCUAACUACGUG
rnacentral:rRNA from 1 species